rnacentral:rRNA from 1 species
UACGUAGGGUGCAGGCGUUAAUCGGAAUUACUGGGCGUAAAGCGUGCGCAGGCGGUUUGCUAAGACAGGUGUGAAAUCCCCGGGCUUAACCUGGGAACUGCGCUUGUUACUGGCAAGCUAGAGUGUGGCAGAGGGGGGUGGAAUUCCAGGUGUAGCAGUGAAAUGCGUAGAGGUCUGGAGGAACACCGAUGGCGAAGGCAGCCCCCUGGGCUAACACUGACGCUCAUGCACGAAAGCGUGGGGAGCGAACAGG